GACGAACGCUGGCGGCGCGCCUAACACAUGCAAGUCGAACGGAGUCAAGAGGAGCUUGUUUUUCUUGACUUAGUGGCGAACGGGUGAGUAACGCGUGAGUAACCUGCCCUGGAGUGGGGGACAACAGUUGGAAACGACUGCUAAUACCGCAUAAGCCCACGGAUCCGCAUGGAUCUGCGGGAAAAGGAUUUAUUCGCUUCAGGAUGGACUCGCGUCCAAUUAGCUAGUUGGUGAGGUAACGGCCCACCAAGGCGACGAUUGGUAGCCGGACUGAGAGGUUGAACGGCCACAUUGGGACUGAGACACGGCCCAGACUCCUACGGGAGGCAGCAGUGGGGGAUAUUGCACAAUGGGGGAAACCCUGAUGCAGCGACGCCGCGUGGAGGAAGAAGGUUUUCGGAUUGUAAACUCCUGUCGUUAGGGACGAUAAUGACGGUACCUAACAAGAAAGCACCGGCUAACUACGUG
rnacentral:rRNA from 1 species